rnacentral:rRNA from 1 species
CCUACGGGAGGCAGCAGUGGGGAAUAUUGGGCAAUGGGCGCAAGCCUGACCCAGCAACGCCGCGUGAGGGAAGAAGGCUCUCCGGUUGGUAAACCCCUUUAUCAGGGACGCAACAGGCGACGGUAGUUGCUCAACAAGCAGCGGCUAACUACGUGGCAGCAGCUGCGGCAGUACGACGGUGGCAGGUGUUAUUCGGAUUUACUGGGUGUAAAGGGGGUGUAGGGGGGAGUGCAAGUCAGGUGUGAAAACUGUGGGCUCAACCCACAGCCUGCGUUUGAAACUGUACCUCUUGAGUGCUGGAGAGGCAAGCGGAAUGCUGGGUGUAGCGGUGAAAUGCGUAGAUAUCCGGAGGAACACCAGUGGCGAAGGCGGAUUGCUGGACAGUAACUGACGCUGAGGCGCGAAAGCGUGGGGAGCGAACAGGAUUAGAUACCCGAGUAGUC